rnacentral:rRNA from 1 species
GACGAACGCUGGCGGCAUGCUUUACACAUGCAAGUCGGACGAGUGGCGAACGGGUGAGUAAUAUAUCGGAACGUACCGAGUAAAGGGGGAUAACUAAUCGAAAGAUUAGCUAAUACCGCAUACUAUUCGAGCGGCCGAUAUCUGAUUAGCUAGUUGGUGGGGUAAAGGCCUACCAAGGCGACGAUCAGUAGCGGGUCUGAGAGGAUGACCCGCAACACUGUGACUGAGACAGGGCCCAGACUCCUACGGGAGGCAGCAGUGGGGAAUUGUGGACAAUGGGCGAAAGCCUGAUCCAGCCAUGCCGCGUGUCUGAAGAAGGCCGUCGGGUUGUAAAGGACUGUUGUCAGGUAAGCGGUACCUGAAGAAUAAGCACCGGCUAACUACGGGCCAGCCGCCGCGGUAAUUC